UACGGAGGGGGCUAGCGUUGUUCGGAAUUACUGGGCGUAAAGGGCUCGUAGGCGGCCAACUAAGUCGGAUGUGAAAUCCCCAAGCUUAACUUGGGAACUGCAUCCGAUACUGGAUGGCUUGAAUCCGGGAGAGGGAUGCAGAAUUCCAGGUGUAGCGGUGAAAUGCGUAGAUAUCUGGAGGAAUACCGGUGGCGAAGGCGGCAUCCUGGACCGGCAUUGACGCUGAGGAGCGAAAGCUAGGGGAGCAAACGGG
rnacentral:rRNA from 1 species